GACGAACGCUGGCGGCGUGCUUAACACAUGCAAGUCGAACGGAAAGGCCCUGCUUGCAGGGUGCUCGAGUGGCGAACGGGUGAGUAACACGUGGGUGAUCUGCCCCUUAUUUUGGGAUAAGCCUGGGAAACUGGGUCUAAUACUGGAUAGGACCAUGCUGUAGGUGGUGUGGUGGAAGGAUUAGUUUCGGUAAGGGAUGAGCUCGCGGCCUAUCAGCUUGUUGGUGGGGUAAUGGCCCACCAAGGCGUCGACGGGUAGCCGGCCUGAGAGGGUGGACGGCCACAUUGGGACUGAGAUACGGCGCAGACGCCUACGGGAGGCAGCAGUGGGGAAUAUUGCACAAUGGGCGCAAGCCUGAUGCAGCGACGCCGCGUGGGGGAUGACGGCCUUCGGGUUGUAAACUCCUUUCAGCCAUGACGAAGCCCUUGUGGUGACGGUAGUGGGAGAAGAAGCACCGGCUAACUACGUG
rnacentral:rRNA from 1 species